rnacentral:rRNA from 1 species
UACGGGGGGGGCAAGCGUUGUUCGGAAUUACUGGGCGUAAAGGGCGCGUAGGCUGCGGGGCAAGUCGGGUGUGAAAUCUCAGAGCUCAACUCUGAAACUGCACUCGAUACUGCUUUGCUUGAGGACUGGAGAGGAGAUUGGAAUUCACGGUGUAGCAGUGAAAUGCGUAAAUAUCGUGAGGAAGACCAGUGGCGAAGGCGGAUCUCUGGACAGUUCCUGACGCUGAGGCGCGAAGGCCAGGGGAGCAAACGGG